UUCGCCUUUUGUGCAGCAGCGGAAAUCCUCUUUGGCUUUCUUUCCGUCCGUGAAAGCAGGUCCUAGCGUAGGCCUUCGGUAAAAGCGAGGUGGCGUAACGCGAACUUCAAAGGCAGGCGUCCCUGUGCCAAGACUUCUGGAGGGCAGCAGCUGAGCUAGUCCGUCUUUAAAGCCAGCACCUCGCGUCCUGUGUUCCAUGGAUGCUCACCAAAUGCACGAGCAGGCGCACCUGCUCUCCGGAGCCUGAGGACCCCCGCCACCCCCGACACCCCUCUGGAGGGGCUCCUGUGUGGGCGGAGGCUGACUUGCAGGCACACAGCGGAAGCAUGAGAGGGAGUCUCAAGCCAG